rnacentral:rRNA from 1 species
UACGGAGGGUGCAAGCGUUAUCCGGAUUCACUGGGUUUAAAGGGUGCGUAGGUGGGCAGGUAAGUCAGUGGUGAAAUCUCCGGGCUUAACCCGGAAACUGCCAUUGAUACUAUCAGUCUUGAAUACCGUGGAGGUCAGUAGAAUAUGUCAUGUAGCGGUGAAAUGCUUAGAUAUGACAUAGAAUACCAAUUGCGAAGGCAGCUGGCUACGCGAAUAUUGACACUGAUGCACGAAAACGUGGGGAUCAAACAGG